UUGUUUUAAUCUUGAAGGUGUCUCAUUUUCCCUGUGGAGGUGGCUGCCUUCCUAGAGGGUAAACUUCCAGAUUGCUGACCGUAAGCUCAGAAGAUAACUAUGGAGGUACUGGCCAGGGAGAGUCUGAUUUCCUCAAAUACUCUAGACUAGAGGGAAAUGGUAUCCUCUUAAGGAAAAAAUCGCGGGGGUAUUCAUAAGACCCGCAUGGUUGGCGCAUACUCUGGUGUGAAGGUGGGACUCCGCGAAGACGUCGCACAGUACCUGGAAUUGUGUAUUGUGCACAACCUUGUGCUGAGACAACGGAAAACCGCCAUCUUAUUGCUCACUCAAUGCCUCCAUAACACCAAUUUUUCACUCCCGGGCUUUGCAGCAGCCCGGUGUACUUUCCAUAAUACGCCUAUUACACAGGCAUCCUCACUAGCCAUCGCUUACACAAUUACCCGUGUGAUUUUCUCCAUCCCGGCGUGGUUGCCAUCGUCUUCGGUCCCCACCCAGUAUAACUUCGGAGGCUGAAGAUUUUCUUUGUCAGUGAAGGAACUCAGUCCUAAAGGAAAUCAACCCUGAAUAUUCAUUGGAAGGACUGAUGCUGAAGCUGAAGCU
ensembl:lncRNA